GGGCCGUUAGCUCAGUGGCAGAGCGCUGCCUUCACACGGCAGAAGCCGCUGGUUCAAAUCCAGCACGGCCCACCA
rnacentral:tRNA from 1 species